UGCCCCUGUGGCCUAUUUGCUGAAUAAAUGUUUGAUAUUUGAUAAUAGGAGAGGUUCGGCAGCUUAUGCACCGAAACCGAACCUUUGGCCGAAACAUGUGUUUUGUACCGAAACCUGCCGAAACUGAAACUUCGUCGGACACUAGUCAUCAUUACUGAACAUUUUCGAACAAAUUGUCAAAAAAAACUGCCAAUGAUUAAUACAGUAUGUUUCUUUUUGCUGUCGAUUAUUUGAAAUAACUUUUAAAAUAUUUUUUUUGCUUACUAAUUAAUAAAAUAUUAACGUUAGAGAAAUCCUGGGAAGUAACCCUACGUGGGAUUUCAGGAUUUGUCCAAUGGAUAAGGACACACUGUACCUAGUAAAUGAAAUACUGGAUUCAACACAAAAAAUAAUCGCAAUCAUCCUUCAAACUCAUUAAACUAAUUUCAACAGACCGGUAACAUAAUUUAACCAAACUUUAAACGCGAAUAAAAUUAAAACCUCUUUAAAUCCUUAACAACAAACAAAAAAACUCGUAAACGUCUUUUCAAUGGUUAUUUAUCUACAUCAGUAAAUACCCUUCAGCUACCUAUUUAUUAAACGGACUAUAAAGACCGAGUCGUAAGUGUCAGAUGGACGUUACUGAUUGGGACGAGUGCCGAUGGCAAAGAAGUCUGCCAUCAGUGUUAAAUGUAUAAAAUAUCGGUGUGUCAUGAGGUAUAUUUGGUUGGGCAAAGAAUGUUUAGUUCAGACAAGCCAUCAUCAUAAAAACGCAAGCAAACGGACGUAAGCUGCGCGCGGCGCGGCGAGCGGCAAUUCAAGGCCGUCUAUACAUUGGUGGAGCGCGAGCGCCAUGUAUGAAAGGCCUUGAUUUGCUGGUCAUCGCGCCGCGCACCGCUUGCGUCCAGCCUGCGGCCUUCGCUUGAUGCUAAGGAGGCCUAUUCAAGAUGCCAAUCGUUUGCGCUAUGACAACGAACGCUUUCUGUUCCUCUAUCACUCUUACUUAUUAGUGCGAUAAAGAGGCAGAUACCCUCUCCCUUAAAAUUUAAUAAAAAGAAUAGAAGCACAUCUACUAUACUGGUCAGUCAUUUAUAUUCAAAAUCAUAAGAAGUGCCUCAGAGAGAAAUAACAUCAGAAGGUACAAACCCUCUCCCAAAACUCCUUGCUCUCUGCCCACCGCGCCGGUUACGAGCGGAAGUGUUGCGUUUCAAAGGGGCAUUCUUGUUACCUGUGUCCUAAAAAUAGCACAGACGGUAACUUUGAUCUCGACGAGGUGGGCGGAUGUAUUGGUGAUUGUCGCGGCGUGGUGAAUGGAGAACAUGUGAAUGAGUCAGGUUAGCUGGCAGAGGCAGACCCAAAAAGACGGCGGGGCGACCUCGACGCAUUUUGCAGCGACUGGCGGGAGGGAGCAUGCGCCAAACCGUGAUGAGUGACCGAAGAAAGGGGCGGCAAUGCCCAGCAGUGGGACAAAAAAGCUAUUGAAAAAAAAAACAGCUAAUACUCUGUUGUUGUAUCACCUACUUUACGGUGUAUAUUUUAUGUUGCAAGAUUUUACAAUCUUCGAAUAAACUUCGUCACUGUCACUAUUCCCUGUUCCUAGUCAUGCGAUUUAUUUUGAAAUUAACGCUAUUACUGCUUUUAAUAUUAAUAGAGUUGUUGAUAACUACACACGUAUCCAGUGAGAUCCACAGCCGACGUGCGAUGGGAGCUGGCGCCAUCAAGAAGAUGUACAACGCCAUUGGCAUGCAGAAGCGUAAAAGGAAAAUAAGGAACUUUGGUCGCAUUGGAUAUAAUUAAGCAUUACGUGAUUGAAGAUUAUUUACAGUACAUAUGUUGCUACUUUACCGCACUAGUGCGAAAAUUAGCAUAUUACGUUACUGUGUCGAACAUUUAAAGGGCCAUAUGUACUGUAAAACGUUGUACGAUACAUGUGCGAAUAAGUAAUUCGCCACUCGUGUCGAUGUAAAACACUCCCUUCGGUCGUGUUUUAAUUUAUCGCCACUCGUUUCGAAUUUCCUAUUUUUCGCACUUGUAUCGUAAUGUACUAUUUUAUGCCAAUGCAGGAGCAUUUUACGAUAAUGCCAUUCUUCAUAUACUUCUAAUAAUUUAUGAGUAAGCAAUAUUUGGUCUGGUAAUAUUUUAUGAUUUUGUUAAUAAAUUGACAGUAUAUUUUUACGCAUUUGAUUAAGGUAGUUGCCAUACAAGGCAAAAGCAUUCAGUAAGUGACAUUUACGUGGACUGCUCCCUACAUAAUAAGUAACACGAUUAAACACAGGAAUUAUAUAAUUAUA